GUCUUGCUUAGCUUUUUCCAUCUGUAAUAAACCAGUAUUAAGUUUAGUGGCGUCCAAAACACAUGUUUUUCACUCAGAUAUAUAUGCUCAUCAUUGAUGAGUCAUCAAUGUCUCAAAUUGUUAGCAUUACAGGACCACAGAUAAAGAGUUCAUGCAUCACUCAUAUCAGAUGCAGGAGUAUAGUAAUGUUCUUAUGAAAGGAAAAAUUGAAGAGAGGGAAGAGAAGUCCAAACCUCCACUCUCUGAUAAGCAUCAGC